UUCUUCUUCUUUUCAACAGCCUAGAAGGGGGUGCUUUGAAAUACGGGAGGAUGGUGGUGAGAAGUUCAUCAGUCUUCUGGACAUGAAGCGACCAUUUGCGCCAACGAAGGCUCUGGACAUGGAAAAAGUCAUAUCUGAUAUUGUUGAUGGGAUCAAAUGAUGACCGACCAUUUGCAAGUGAGUCAUUUUGUCGUAGUGCAUGAAGUAAACCAUGCUGACUUCUUUUUUUCUUUUUUUGGAAGAAAACUUGCUAUUAUUAGUGUCCAA